CGUCCUGUCUAUUCAUUUAAAAAAAAAAAAAAGGCGGCUUGUCCAAUGGCGGCUCUUUGUGCGGAGUGUCAGUGCCGAGGCCUUCCGUGUGUGUGUGAGCUGCGACUUUAGUUGACCAGGAUGGAACUACAGGAGGUGGAAGUCCUUCAGGACGACAUUCCAGCCUAAAAGAAAAGGGAUUUUGAAUGGAGUGGGUGAUUCUUUAUGCAGAGACGAGACGCGACACCUUCCAGACAGUGAGAGAUGGCAAGCCCUAAUAAUACAGAGCUAUACAAUGGUUCUGACAGGCGAGCAAUAAAGCAAUCAGGGUCCCAGGCAUUCCAAAUCUCUUUACCGCCCACCUCCUAACUGACUGAGAGAUGGACGGCUGACCUGUGGGCUGUCAAUCAUGGGGGGAUACCUGCUGUAGCCUGAUCAGGGGGAGCUGAGGGGCACCAGUCCAUCAGAUCUGUUUUCACACUCCAAACACUAGUGUUGCAAGCAUAACCACAGACACACAGAAAACCUACUGACUCACUCUUAAUUAGGAGAUGUGUGAUUUUCAUAGGUUGGGAGGGGGGUUGACUAGUUUGGUUUAAAUGUGUAUGGGUGUCUGAGAUGAUGUGAAUGUAAUCCCAGAGGGUGCGAGUAACCUUUUCCCUCGGUUUGGGAAUCAAGGACUGAUUUGUCAUGCUGUUUUGUACAAGAUCGAGGUCUUUCAGCAAGGCCUCCCAAUGCGUGUUUCCUGUCCUCACUUCAUGUAUAUGUGCCGUCUGAUAGGUGGCCAGUACUGAGGUUUCCAAAGUUCAUUAGCGGUCGGUAUCCCAUCCUAGCAAGUAGAUCACCAUAAUACUGUGGUUAGUUAAUGGCUUUCUGGUGUUUCCUCUUGAGUCUUCCCAUCUGUGGGAUGAAUGCUAAAACUCCUCCACUGUUUUUAUAUCUCUCUCCCCCCCCCCCCCUUUUCCAAGAGGGAGUUGUGUGUUCUGAUGCCGAGUAUCGACAGUUUGCUUUAGCCGUGCUGCAGCCAAGAAUGAGCAGUCUGGCCACAUGGACUCACAUUAAAGAAAUAACAGCAACAUCACAAAUAACGUGUCGAUCUGACAUUUUGUCUUCUGGAUCUCUGAUAUUUUAUUUGUACAAAGCAAUCUGUGGCAGGGUUUUUACAAAACCGUUGUAAAUAUUACAUAUUUUAUUGUUUGUAAGUUGUUAAUCACUAUGUCUACUAGAAGAUGUGUACUGGUAUGCCAUAAGCAUGAUUUGUUACGUGUUUUAGGUGCAAAGUCAUUGUCAUGUCAUGGACUAAAUUGUAUGAUUGACUAUGAUGCAAUUGCAUGUAAUUAUAAUGGAAGCUGUUAAACAAAGGAAUAAUAGUGUAUUGUGUGUCAGAGAGUAAAAAAGGAACUUUAAAACAAAUUAGUUAUAAAUUACCUAACUUUCUUCUAUCACUUCUUUUGGUCAUUUUUUUAAUAUAGGAUAGGGUAGCCAAUAAGACACAGCCAGAGGUGAGUGCUCUUGGAUGGGGGAGGGUCCCACGGCAGUACCCGGUCAGUUGACCGAUACGUGCUUUUAUAUCAUGUUUACCAGAAUUCAAUUCACUAGAUUGGUCGCUUCUCCUCCGUAUAAUUAUCUUGAAGGCCAAGUGUGUUUGACAUCUGUAAAGAAUAUGGAUGGGAACUUAUAUAAUCAUGUUUCAUCAAAUAUAAUAAGGUUGUUCCCCCUCGGGGAGACUGCAUAACACGCGGCACACUGGCAAAGCUUAACCUUUAUUUACUAUAACAAUUUACAAAGUUAAUACAGUUUGCGUCUCUUUCUUC